AUGAAAACAAUGGAAUAAUUGUUAUAAUAACUGACAACCAGGAAAGUAGUUAUCUUCUGAUUACAAAGUAUCUUAGAAAUUACAUGCAGCAACUCUUCUUCCUUGCACAUAACACAAACUAUCAAGAAGACUUUUGAAAUGUUGGAGGUAUAUAAUUAGGCAAUCUGGAUAUCAUAUCAAAUUCAAACAGGCUGUGCAGUUCUGCAAUGCAUUAAAAGGAAAAAGUUCACCUUCUGGAAGAAAGACAUUACUGGAGUUGGAAUCAUCAUCAUAAUUUAUGUAUUACAUAUAAAAAAAGUGAUCACAGAAACUUAAAAUGGCCAUGUAUUUACAUGCCCACGUGUUGAUAUUGUUUAAAUUAAAAAAUAAAUGCACUUAAAAUUAAAUGCUAACAAAAAAUGCGAUGUCAAUUCACGUGACUUGUAAUUUUCAAGAAACUGAUUGUCCAACCGUUAUUAAAAAGUAAAAGAUUCUAUCUAGGACUCUAGGAACCAAAUAGGAUGAAAACUUGUCCACAAUAUCAGCGUUAUGACUACUAAAAUGCACUUUAAAAUACAACUUCGUAGGCAUUUAUAGGCUAAAAUGCACUUUUAGUCGUUCUUUUAUUCUGUUAUGCUUUUCUUUUUCUUGUUCAGAGAAAAGUAUAGGCAAGUAGGGUAUUAGCAAUAGCAUUUUAUAGUAACCAUGACCAACCCUCUUCAGUGCUCAAGAUAGCAUCUUGAACUAGAACUAUCUAACAGGUAUAGUUGAAGCCCGAUUAAAAUAAUGCAUGGAUUCCUUGGAAAAUAUGAUCCAUUGCAUACAACAACUUGGGGAAAAGGAAGAAUGAAUACUCAAUAUAAUCAUCAUAUGGUAGCUCAAACCUCGGAAAUGAUAAGUGAUUUCAUCGCCGAAGUGAUUGAUAAAAAGAGAAAUGGGCCAAACAAAUUUUUAAAAAUAAAUUUAUUUAGUAAUCAAAGUUGUUUCUUACUAGAGUACACCAGGACAUAUAAUAAAGUAGGUGACGCAAUUCUGUAAAAGGGGGAUAGACAUUGAAUCUAGAAGAAUAUAAAAACUGAAAUAACAAGAAUUAUCCUAAGAAGACUUUUGAAUAUGAUUGCAACCAAGAGAAAGGAAAAACAAACAAUAUCUAGGUAUCAAAUUUAUUUUUUUUUUUUUCCUUCUAAAGGUAUAUAACUACUUUUCAUGGGUGCAGCAGUUCUUCAUUUUAAUUGUAUUGGCACCCUCCAGUGUCUAGUGACUGUGAGCAAAGUUGACCAAAGUGAUUGCAGAAGAAGAAGAGGUCCAAUAAAAAAAAAAAAAUCUCUCCCACUUUGAAAGUUUAUUUGUAAAGAUUUUAUAUUGUAUUUGAUUUUAUUUAUCGGG